rnacentral:tRNA from 1 species
AAUUAAGUAGUUAAUAACUAUCAAUAACAGUUGGUUUCGACCCUUCAAUAGCAAUCUGCCUUAAUUC